AUGGUAUUUACUGCUCGGCAGUUACAGGAGAAAUGCCAAGAACAAAAUGUUGAUCUAUAUAUGGCUUUCGUUGAUCUAACAAAAGCAUUCGACACAGUCAGCCGGGAGGGCCUAUGGAAAAUCAUGGCUAAGUAUGGGUGUCCAGACAAGUUCAUUGGUAUUGUGCGCAAUCUCCAUGAUGGCAUGACGGCCAGCGUCAGAGAUCAGCAAGAACUCUCUGAUCCGUUCCCAAUUACAAACGGGGUGAAGCAAGGCUGCGUUUUAGCGCCAACGCUCUUCAGCAUGGUUUUCUCUGCCAUGCUGCAAGACUCAUUCCAGAAUUACAACACUGGGAUUAACUUCAUCUAUCGUUUUGACGGUGGGCUAUUCAAUCUGCGCAGGAUGCAAGCCAAAACUAGAGUGGAGGAAGUCACUGUUCGAGAACUUUUGUUUGCUGAUGACUGUGCUCUGGUUGCUGGCUCAAAUAAAGAUCUACAGGACAGUAUGGACCACCUCUCCUCAGCUUGCAAUAACUUCGGCUUAACAAUCAGCACAAAGAAGACUGAAGUCCUAUACCAACCUGCUCCUGGGAAACCCUACACUGAGCCAACCAUCUUUGUGAAUGGGCAAAAGCUUUCAGCCGUUGACAGGUUUACUUACCUUGGUAGUACACUGUCUCGUGCUGUGCACAUAGAUGAUGAAGUUAACAUCAGGAUUGUCAAGGCCAGCGCAGCCUUUGGACGUCUACGUGACUCGGUAUGGGAAAGGACUGGCAUCAAGCAGGAGACAAAACUGAAGGUCUACCGGGCCGUUGUCUUACCAACUCUUCUGUAUGGGUGCGAAGCCUGGACAGUCUACCAGCGCCAUGCCAAAAAAUUGAAUCAUAUCCACCUGAGCUGUCUGAGGAAACUGCUGAGGAUCAAGUGGCAAGACAAAAUCCCUGACACGGAAGUCCUCAGCAAGGCAAAUAUCCCUAGCAUCUACACCAUGCUUGCGAAGGAACAGCUUAGAUGGACUGGGCACGUGACCAGAAUGCCCUACGUGAGACUUCCAAAACAAGUCUUUUUUGGCGAGCUGAAAAAUGGCAAGCGUGCACAAGGUGGCCCCAAAAAGCGCUACAAGGAUACCCUUAAAGCUUCCUUGAAGAGCUUUGGACUCGAUCUGAAAAGCUGGGAAUCCCUAGCACAGGACCGACCUGCCUGGAGAAGAAAAGUCCAGGACGGUGCAGUCCUCUGUGAGAGCAGGAGAAGCUCCUGUGCUAUCUUGAAGAGGCAGCAGCGCAAAUCUACUAAGGAAGGACAUGUGGCUGUACCUCAGAGCUCUACAUCUUCCCUGACCUGUCCAGUGUGCCACAGGGAAUUCCGGGCUCGGAUUGGCCUCUUCAGCCAUCUGCGCACUCAUCAAAACCCAAUAAAAUGA
rnacentral:lncRNA from 1 species